GUAUUGUGUUUGGGAGUUACUUUUUUCUUUCUUAUUUGUUUAAACUUAGAUACAACUUUGUUAUCUUUGGAGGAAUAGAUGGCUAUUCAAGAAAGAUUAUGUACUUGAAGGUAGCAGACAACAACCGGUCUGACACCCACUUGGUCUUCUUCAAUGAAGCUGUGAACGAGCAUGGGUAUCCACUGAGAGUGAGAGGAGAUCAUGGAGGGGAAAAUGUUGGAGUAGCAGAAUUAAUGUUCUCAGUUCGUGG